rnacentral:rRNA from 1 species
AUUGAACGCUGGCGGCAUGCUUUACACAUGCAAGUCGAACGGUAACAGGCCUUCGGGUGCUGACGAGUGGCGAACGGGUGAGUAAUGCAUCUGAACGUACCCAGAGGUGGGGGAUAACGCAGCGAAAGCUGUGCUAAUACCGCAUGUGAUCUGAGGAUGAAAGCGGGGGACCGAGCAGCAAUGUUUGGCCUCGCGCCUUUGGAGCGGCCGAUGUCGGAUUAGCUAGUUGGUGGGGUAAAGGCCUACCAAGGCGACGAUCCGUAGCUGGUCUGAGAGGACGACCAGCCACACUGGGACUGAGACACGGCCCAGACUCCUACGGGAGGCAGCAGUGGGGAAUUUUGGACAAUGGGCGCAAGCCUGAUCCAGCAAUGCCGCGUGCGGGAAGAAGGCCUUCGGGUUGUAAACCGCUUUUGGCAGGAACGAAACGGUGUCCGCUAAUACCGGGCGCUAAUGACGGUACCUGCAGAAUAAGCACCGGCUAACUACGU